rnacentral:rRNA from 1 species
UACGAAGGGGGCUAGCGUUGUUCGGAAUUACUGGGCGUAAAGCGCACGUAGGCGGAUUGAUAAGUCAGGGGUGAAAUCCCGGGGCUCAACCUCGGAACUGCCUUUGAUACUGUUAGUCUCGAGUCCGAUAGAGGUGAGUGGAAUUCCUAGUGUAGAGGUGAAAUUCGUAGAUAUUAGGAAGAACACCAGUGGCGAAGGCGGCUCACUGGAUCGGUACUGACGCUGAGGUGCGAAAGCGUGGGGAGCAAACAGG